rnacentral:rRNA from 1 species
AGUGAACGCUGGCGGUAGGCCUAACACAUGCAAGUCGAACGGCAGCACAGUAAGAUCUUGCUCUUACGGGUGGCGAGUGGCGGACGGGUGAGGAAUACAUCGGAAUCUACUUUUUCGUGGGGGAUAACGUAGGGAAACUUACGCUAAUACCGCAUACGACCUACGGGUGAAAGCAGGGGAUCUUCGGACCUUGCGCGAUUGAAUGAGCCGAUGUCGGAUUAGCUAGUUGGCGGGGUAAAGGCCCACCAAGGCGACGAACCGUAGCUGGUCUGAGAGGAUGAUCAGCCACACUGGAACUGAGACACGGUCCAGACUCCUACGGGAGGCAGCAGUGGGGAAUAUUGGACAAUGGGCGCAAGCCUGAUCCAGCCAUACCGCGUGGGUGAAGAAGGCCUUCGGGUUGUAAAGCCCUUUUGUUGGGAAAGAAAAGCAGCAGGUUAAUACCCCGCUGUUCUGACGGUACCCAAAGAAUAAGCACCGGCUAACUUCGUG